GUCAAAGUGUGAAUCUUAUCACUUUGUGGUGGGUCCAUGAAAUGCAAUGAUACAGCUUUUAAAAGCAGGCGUAAAGUUGCGUGCUAAGUGCACGGAGAACAAAAAGCGGUCUUUAAGGACUACAAUUUGAAUCGGCAUCAUAAAACACAGAGAGAAGUAAAAUAAUUUGACGGAUGUGGAGCGGACAUCAGAAGAUUUACUGGCUUUAAAGAAACACUUUGAAAUGAUGGAGGAGCUGGCAGCUAUGAGGUCAAUGAAAGGCACCACUAAUGGGGAGGGACGUGUUCACACAGGUAACUACGUCCAUGGAGACGCUGCCUGGGACAAAAAUGGCACAAAAUGGUUGGAGUUACAACCGACGGCUGUCCAGAUCUGAACUGUGCAAGAUAAAGUCUCUGGAAUAAUCCCUGAAUGAGCAAGAGCACCGAAUCACAGACAGUUUGUUUCACUGUUGGAGGAUCAUUAUAGUGAACAUAGUGGCUUAGGACCAUCAAAAGGCCUGCGGAAACAUACAGAAAGCCUACUGUGGGGAACCAUCAGGUCCUGUUAACAGGACCUCAGGGACCUGACAUGUGGGUGCACAAGCCCUCUGAUAUGCUGUCUGUCCAUGGAGAGCUCUUUAAAACCAAAGAUCUUGGUCGUUCCUUCAGCAACUAUUCCUUUUCUACAAAAACCUUCUGGAAAACUCCCCGGUUCCACAGUCGUCUGCCUGCCUGCCCUCCCACUCACCAGCCACUCAAGAGCACAAAUCCCUCCGGAUAGCUCGCAGAAUCUCACCUCCAAACCACACCUCCAUCCUUCUGACACAGUAAGUUAAAGAUCAUCCUUUUGUCCAA